UCUUUUCCUUUUUUUCCAGCAGCCGCGGUAAUACGUAGGUGGCAAGCGUUGUCCGGAAUUACUGGGUGUAAAGGGAGCGCAGGCGGGUGAUCAAGUCAGCUGUGAAAACUACGGGCUUAACCCGUAGACUGCAGUUGAAACUGUUCAUCUUGAGUGAAGUAGAGGUUGGCGGAAUUCCGAGUGUAGCGGUGAAAUGCGUAGAUAUUCGGAGGAACACCGGUGGCGAAGGCGGCCAACUGGGCUUUAACUGACGCUGAGGCUCGAAAGUGUGGGGAGCAAACAGG
rnacentral:rRNA from 1 species